rnacentral:tRNA from 1 species
GUAUUGGUGGUUCAGUGGUAGAGUUCUCACCUUCCAUGAGAUAGACCUGAGUUUGAUUCCCAGCCAACGCA